CCCAGACUCCUACGGGAGGCAGCAGUGGGGAAUAUUGCACAAUGGGGGGAACCCUGAUGCAGCGACGCCGCGUGGGUGAAGGAGUACUUCGGUACGUAAAGCCCUAUCAGCAGGAAAGAAAAUGACGGUACCUGACUAAGAAGCCCCGGCUAACUACGUGCCAGCAGCCGCGGUAAUACGUAGGGGGCAAGCGUUAUCCGGAUUUACUGGGUGUAAAGGGAGCGUAGACGGCAGUGCAAGUCCGGAGUGAAAGCCCGGGGCUCAGCCCUGGGACUGCUCUGGAAACUGUAAAGCUGGAGUGCGGGAGGGGCAGGCGGAAUUCCUGGUGUAGCGGUGAAAUGCGUAGAUAUCAGGAGGAACACCGGCGGCGAAGGCGGCCUGCUGGACCGUAACUGACGUUGAGGCUCGAAAGCGUGGGGAGCCAACAGGAUUAGAUACCCGCGUA
rnacentral:rRNA from 1 species